ACGCUGGCGGCGUGCCUAAUACAUGCAAGUAGAACGCUGAGGUUUGGUGUUUACACUAGACUGAUGAGUUGCGAACGGGUGAGUAACGCGUAGGUAACCUGCCUCAUAGCGGGGGAUAACUAUUGGAAACGAUAGCUAAUACCGCAUAAGAGUAAUUAACACAUGUUGGUUAUUUAAAAGGAGCAAUUGCUUCACUGUGAGAUGGACCUGCGUUGUACUAGCUAGUUGGUGAGGUAAAGGCUCACCAAGGCGACGAUACAUAGCCGACCUGAGAGGGUGAUCGGCCACACUGGGACUGAGACACGGCCCAGACUCCUACGGGAGGCAGCAGUAGGGAAUCUUCGGCAAUGGACGGAAGUCUGACCGAGCAACGCCGCGUGAGUGAAGAAGGUUUUCGGAUCGUAAAGCUCUGUUGUUAGAGAAGAACGUUGGUAGGAGUGGAAAAUCUACCAAGUGACGGUAACUAACCAGAAAGGGACGGCUAACUACGUGCCAGCAGCCGCGGUAAUACGUAGGUCCCGAGCGUUGUCCGGAUUUAUUGGGCGUAAAGCGAGCGCAGGCGGUUCUUUAAGUCUGAAGUUAAAGGCAGUGGCUUAACCAUUGUACGCUUUGGAAACUGGAGGACUUGAGUGCAGAAGGGGAGAGUGGAAUUCCAUGUGUAGCGGUGAAAUGCGUAGAUAUAUGGAGGAACACCGGUGGCGAAAGCGGCUCUCUGGUCUGUAACUGACGCUGAGGCUCGAAAGCGUG
rnacentral:rRNA from 1 species